AUUGAACGCUGGCGGCAUGCUUUACACAUGCAAGUCGAACGGCAGCACGGGCUUCGGCCUGGUGGCGAGUGGCGAACGGGUGAGUAAUAUAUCGGAACGUACCCAGAAGUGGGGGAUAACGUAGCGAAAGUUACGCUAAUACCGCAUACGAUCUAUGGAUGAAAGCAGGGGACCGCAAGGCCUUGUGCUCCUGGAGCGGCCGAUAUCUGAUUAGCUAGUUGGUGAGGUAAAGGCUCACCAAGGCGACGAUCAGUAGCUGGUCUGAGAGGACGACCAGCCACACUGGAACUGAGACACGGUCCAGACUCCUACGGGAGGCAGCAGUGGGGAAUUUUGGACAAUGGGCGCAAGCCUGAUCCAGCAAUGCCGCGUGAGUGAAGAAGGCCUGCGGGUUGUAAAGCGCUUUUGUCAGGGAAGAAACGGUAGAGGCUAAUAUCCUUUGCUAAUGACGGUACCUGAAGAAUAAGCACCGGCUAACUACGU
rnacentral:rRNA from 1 species